UUGAACGGAACUUGCUGGUGCUUGGAUCGCAGCUCCGCCGAUCUCCGCGAGGCUAACACCACCGACUUCGACUUCGUCGCUCAAAUCAUAUAUCACAAAUCGCCAAAUACAAAAGCCUAGUUGUGCACACCUAUAUAUUUAAUUUUUUUUUUGUUUGUUUACCGUUACGUGCUAAACCAUUUGUGUGCUGGUGAUAUUCGUGUAGAACAUAAUAACAUAAUAUUCAGAAUUUUCGAGCCGUGUUUCCAUAGACUAAUUGUAACAGAUUCCGUGUCUUCAACCGUUGGGAGCUGCUCUUCCAACACAUCCGCCUGGCCAUGUCCCGCAUCGGAAACCAAAACCGGGAGCUGCUCCUCCUGCCACUGCUGCUCCUCGUCCUCCUGGUCGACGGCAAGGCAGCGGCGGGCUCCCUGGUGUCCCCGAACAAUAGGCAGCCAUCGCAGCGGUUCUUCUACGCCGCCGCCACGUCCUCCUCCUCCACGCAGACGAAGGUGCGCCUGCUGCGCCAGGCGGACGAUCCCAAUGCGGCGCCGGCUGCACUGGAGGGCAGCUGCUGUCAAGGAGCAGCCGCGGAAGCCGGUAAACCAUUGACGCUGCCACUGGCCGUGUCCGCUGAGCUGACCAACGUGACCGCCGACUACGAUGUGUCCGGCGAGAUGCCCUCCUCCAAGGAAAACUUCAAGCGCAGCAUCAUGAAAUCAACUGUGAGGAAUGCGACGCCGGCGAGCUGCUCCCCGCAACCGACGAUCGUGGAGCUGAAGCCGCCGGCGGAGGAUGAGGCCAAUUACUACUACAUGCCAGCGUGCACGCGCAUCAGCCGGUGCAAUGGAUGCUGCGGCUCCACGCUGAUCUCCUGCCAGCCGACGGAGGUGGAGCAGGUGCAGCUGCGGGUGCGCAAGGUGGACCGGGCGGCCACCAGCGGUCGCAGGCCGUUCACCAUCAUCACCGUGGAGCAGCAUACGCAGUGCCGCUGCGAUUGCCGCACCAAGGCGGAGGAUUGCAACGUGUAUCAGUCGUAUCGCAAGGAUCUGUGCCGCUGCGAGUGCCACAACACGGACGCGAGGGACAAGUGCCUGGAGCAGGCGGAGAACAAGUACUGGGUGGACGACAACUGCACCUGCGUCUGCCGCUACAACCAGAGCUGCACCACCGGCACCGUCUUCGAUGAGACGCAGUGCAAGUGCACCGACAUUAAAAAUGUCGAGUAUUAUUCUUAGAGUCCACAAAACACAACACACACACACUACACACAAAUUUGUUCGAUUGCGAGUCCUAAAACUCUUGUGAUACUGUUAAAUUAACUUUCUCGAAAAAAAACGAAAAAAAACUAACUUUAAAUUAGCAACUUCUGCUUAGCGAUUGGUUAAGGAUUGACAAAUAAAUGAAAAUACAUUUAAUAAAUAUAGCUGAGUUGAGGCAAAAAGAGGGAGAAGGGAGUUGCAUUGUCCGGCUGCACCCAUCAAUGUUUUGGAUCGCAAGCGCUUCAUUGUCCAGGCGGUACAGGUGGACCCCGAUAACACCACCCUGUACAGCGUUUGAGGAGUACGAACGCCAGCUUCCUAGCGGGGAAUCCCCGAGUACUGAGAAGGCAAUUGCCGGGGAAUUGCACCGUGUACUUUAUAUUAUUUAUAGUUACCGAUUAAACCUAGGCUAAAACUGCAAUCCCCCUUACACUUAACACACAGUAUUUACCCCCUUUUGCAACCAAAACUUUAAAUGGCUGCGCAGAAAUCUCGGCUGAAAUCUCCACUUUCAGAUACACUUUCAAAAGAAUUUUAGACCCUUAGAGAUUUCUGCGCAUAUCCUGUGCAUUAAUUUUUAUGAAUUUGUUUAUAUAACUUUUUAAGCGCCUUUCACUUUGUCGCGGCCCUGUACACACUUGUUGAUUUCCGUUUGUUUAAGUUUUAAGUCAUCCAAAAUGAGUUGUCCACAAAUUAAACGCUUUCCAAUAAUCCGCCGUACUUCAUUUGCAUGUAACUUUUUUUUGUAAAAAACUGUUAGACUUAAGUUUACGUAAAGAAAAUACAGACAAAGUAUUGAAUUA